GUAGGUGGCAGGCGUUGUCCGGAAUUAUUGGGCGUAAAGCGCGCGCAGGCGGUCCUUUAAGUCUGAUGUGAAAGCCCACGGCUCAACCGUGGAGGGUCAUUGGAAACUGGGGGACUUGAGUACAGAAGAGGAAAGCGGAAUUCCACGUGUAGCGGUGAAAUGCGUAGAGAUGUGGAGGAACACCAGUGGCGAAGGCGGCUUUCUGGUCUGUAACUGACGCUGAGGCGCGAAAGCGUGGGGAGCAAACAGGAUUAGAUACCCUGGUAGUCCACGCCGUAAACGAUGAGUGCUAAGUGUUAGGGGGUUUCCCGCCCCCCUUAGUGCUGCAGCUAACGCAUUAAGCACUCCGCCUGGGGAGUACGGCCGCAAGGCUG
rnacentral:rRNA from 1 species